ACGGGAGGCAGCAGUAGGGAAUCUUCGGCAAUGGACGAAAGUCUGACCGAGCAACGCCGCGUGAGUGAAGAAGGUUUUCGGAUCGUAAAACUCUGUUGUUAGAGAAGAACAGGAGCGAUAGUAACUGCUCGCUCUUUGACGGUAUCUAACCAGAAAGCCACGGCUAACUACGUGCCAGCAGCCGCGGUAAUA
rnacentral:rRNA from 1 species